rnacentral:rRNA from 1 species
GAAAAGGACUUUGGAAAGAGAGUCAAAGAGUGCUUGAAAUUGUCGGGAGGGAAGCGGAUGGGGGCUGGCGAUGCGCCUCGGUCGGAUGUGGAACGGUCACAAGCCGGUCCGCCGAUCGACUCGGGGCGUGGACCGAUGCGGAUUGCGGCGGUGGCCCAAGCCCGGGCAGUAUGCCCGUGGAGACGUCGUCGCCGCGAUCGUGGCUGGCAGCGCGCGCCGUACGGCGUGCCCCGUGCACCUGCGCGCUCCUGGCAUCGGCCUGCGAGCUCCCCAUUCGGCCCGUCUUGUAACACGGACCAAGG